GAUGAACGCUGGCGGCGUGCCUCAAACAUGCAAGUCGAGCGGGGCUAUGUAAUAUCGCAAGGUAGAACAUAGCCUAGCGGCGAACGGGUGAGUAACACGUGGGUAACCUGCCUGGAAGACAGGGAUAACGAUUCGAAAGGGUCGCUAAUACCUGAUAAUAUCCUUUCAUCGCAUGGUGAUAGGAAGAAAGGGGAAACCCGCUUUCAGAUGGGCCCGCGUCCCAUCAGCUAGUUGGUAAGGUAAAGGCUUACCAAGGCGACGACGGGUAGCCGGUCUGAGAGGAUGUACGGCCACACUGGGACUGAGAUACGGCCCAGACUCCUACGGGAGGCAGCAGUAGGGAAUAUUGGGCAAUGGGCGGAAGCCUGACCCAGCCAUGCCGCGUGAAGGAAGACGGCCUUAUGGGUUGUAAACUUCUUUACUAUGCGACUAACUAGAUUUACGAGAUAAUUCUAUAGAAUGUAGCAUAGCAAAAGCACCGGCUAACUCCGUGCCAGCAGCCG
rnacentral:rRNA from 1 species